rnacentral:misc_RNA from 1 species
AAGUCGUAACAAGGUUUCCGUAGGUGAACCUGCGGAAGGAUCAUUAUUGAAUACGAUUGGUACUGAUGCUGGCUCUUAACAGGGCAUGUGCUCGUGCCGUCUAUUUAUCUUCUCUUGUGCACAUUUUGUAGUCAGUGAAUUGGAAACUAUGCGUGCUUUCAUUAGUACGGUCUGGAGGCUGAUUAAACCCUGCUUCUGUUCCUCUGCGCACUCUUUACUGAGUUGCGGUCUGGGAGUUGUUAACCCUUCUCCUGCUUCACUGACUAUGUUUUCAUAUACCUUAUAAAGUCAUAGAAUGUCAUUUAACUUGAUUGCGCUCGUCGUAGUCGUUAAACCUAUACAACUUUCAGCAACGGAUCUCUUGGCUCUC